UGGGGAAUAUUGCACAAUGGGCGCAAGCCUGAUGCAGCCAUGCCGCGUGUAUGAAGAAGGCCUUCGGGUUGUAAAGUACUUUCAGCGGGGAGGAAGGGAGUAAAGUUAAUACCUUUGCUCAUUGACGUUACCCGCAGAAGAAGCACCGGCUAACUCCGUGCCAGCAGCCGCGGUAAUACGGAGGGUGCAAGCGUUAAUCGGAAUUACUGGGCGUAAAGCGCACGCAGGCGGUUGAUUGAGUCAGAUGUGAAAUCCCCGGGCUUAACCCGGGAAUUGCAUCUGAUACUGGUCAGCUAGAGUCUUGUAGAGGGGGGUAGAAUUCCAGGUGUAGCGGUGAAAUGCGUAGAGAUCUGGAGGAAUACCGGUGGCGAAGGCGGCCCCCUGGACAAAGACUGACGCUCAGGUGCGAAAGCGUGGGGAGCAAACAGG
rnacentral:rRNA from 1 species